AUACGGAGGGUGCAAGCGUUACUCGGAAUCACUGGGCGUAAAGCGCGCGCAGGCGGCUAUUUAAGUUGGAUGUGAAAGCCUACGGCUCAACCGUAGAACUGCAUCCAAAACUAUUUAGCUAGAGUGUGGGAGAGGAAGAUGGAAUUAGUUGUGUAGGGGUAAAAUCCGUAGAGAUAACUAGGGAUACCAAAAGCGAAGGCAAUCUUCUGGAACACUACUGACGCCGAGGCGCGAAAGCGUGGGGAGCAAACAGGAUUAGAAACCCCAGUAGUCC
rnacentral:rRNA from 1 species